rnacentral:rRNA from 1 species
GGCUCAGGACGAACGCUGGCGGCGUGCUUAACACACGCAAGUCACGGGGGCCCGCAAGGGUAACCGGCGAACGGGUGCGUAACACGUGAGCAAUCUGCCGUACACUGGGGGAUAGCCGGCCCAACGGCCGGGUAAUACCGCAUACGUUCAUUUGGCGGCAUCGCCGAAUGAAGAAACCUCCGGGGGUGUACGAGGAGCUCGCGGCCUAUCGGGUAGUUGGUGGGGUCACGGCCUACCAAGCCAUUGACGGGUAGCUGGUCUGAGAGGAUGGCCAGCCACAUUGGGACUGAGAUACGGCCCAGACUCCUACGGGAGGCAGCAGUGGGGAAUAUUGCGCAAUGGCCGCAAGGCUGACGCAGCGACGCCGCGUGGGGGAUGAAGCAUUUCGGUGUGUAAACCCCUGUUGCUCGGGACGAACAACGAGUUUCGACUCGUCUGACGGUACCGGGUGAGGAAGCACCGGCUAACUCCGUGCCAGCAGCCGCGGUAAUACGGAGGGUGCGAGCGUUGUCCGGAAUCACUGGGCGUAAAGGGCGCGUAGGCGGUCUGCUAAGCGUGCGGUGAAAGCCCGGGGCUCAACCCCGGGUCGGCCGUGCGAACUGGUGGACUCGAGCACUGUAGAGGCAGGUGGAAUUCCGGGUGUAGCGGUGGAAUGCGUAGAGAUCCGGAAGAACACCGGUGGCGAAGGCGGCCUGCUGGGCAGUAGCUGACGCUGAGGCGCGACAGCGUGGGGAGCAAACAGGAUUAGAUACCCUGGUAGUCCACGCCGUAAACGAUGGGGACUAGGUGCUUGGGGGAGCGACCCCUCGAGUGCCGGCGCUAACGCAUUAAGUCCCCCGCCUGGGGAGUACGG